rnacentral:rRNA from 1 species
GCUUAACACAUACAAGUCGCACGAGAUAGUCCCCUUCGGGGGAUGUGUAAAGUGGCGCACGGGUGAGAAACACGUAGAUAACCUACCCUGUUGACGGGCAAAACCCCGCGAAAGCGAGGCUAAUUCCCGAUAAGCUCUUAGAGACAUAAAGUUUUUAAGAGGAACGCGGCCCUCUGAUCUAAGGUCGCGCUGCAGGAUGGGUCUGCGGCCCAUCAGCUAGUUGGUGAGGUAAUGGCCCACCAAGGCUAUGACGGGUAGCUGGUCUGAGAGGACGACCAGCCACACUGGGACUGGAACACGGCCCAGACUCCUACGGGAGGCAGCAGUGGGGAAUAUUGGACAAUGGGGGAAACCCUGAUCCAGCGAUACCGCGUGUAGGAAGAAGGCUUUCGGGUCGUAAACUACUGUCAUAGGGGACGAAGAUUUAGGCGUGAAUAACGUUUGAGUUUGACGGUACCCUAGAAGGAAGCACCGGCUAACUCCGUGCCAGCAGCCGCGGUAAUACGGAGGAUGCAAGCGUUGUUCGGAUUUACUGGGCGUAAAGUGUGUCUAGGUGGAAUUGUAAGUCGGGUGUGAAAGCCUCAGGCUCAACCUGAGAAAUGCGUCCGAAACUGCAGUUCUUGAGUUAUGGAGAGGUGAGUGGAAUUUCUGGUGUAGCAGUGAAAUGCGUAGAUACCAGAAAGAACACCGGAAGCGAAAGCGGCUCACUGGCCAUUUACUGACACUAAAGCACGAAAGCGUGGGUAGCAAACAGGAUUAGAUACCCUGGUAGUCCACGCUGUAAACGAUGGGUACUAGAUGUCGGGGGAAUUGACCCCCUCGGUGUCGACGCUAACGCAUUAAGUACCCCGCCUGGGGAGUACGGUCGCAAGAUAAAAACUCAAAGAAAUUGACGGGGGCCCGCACAAGCGGUGGAGCAUGUGGUUCAAUUCGACUACGCGAAGAACCUUACCUGGGCUUGACAUCCGCGGAACCAGCCAGAGAUGGCAGGGUGCCUUCGGGAGCCGCGAGACAGGUGCUGCAUGGCUGUCGUCAGCUCGUGUCGUGAGAUGUUGGGUUAAGUCCCGCAACGAGCGCAACCCCUAUCCUUAGUUGCUAACAUUAAGUUGAGAACUCUAAGGAGACUGCCCCGGUCAACGGGGAGGAAGGUGGGGACGACGUCAAGUCAUCAUGGCCCUUACGUCCAGGGCUACACACUUGCUACAAUGGAAAGUACAGAGGGUUGCCAACCCGUGAGGGGGAGCUAAUCCCAGAAAACUUUCCCAAGUUCGGAUUGAAGUCUGCAACUCGACUUCAUGAAGCUGGAAUCGCUAGUAAUCGCGGAUCAGCAACGUCGCGGUGAAUACGUUCCCGGGCCUUGUACACACUGCCCGUCACACCACGAAAGUUGAGUCUUCCAGGAGCCGAUGCACUAUCCCGCAAGGGGGGUAAUCGUCCAAGGAAGAAUCGAUGAUUGGGGUGAAGUCGUAACAAGGUA